rnacentral:rRNA from 1 species
CCCUUCGGGGAUAGCGGCGGACGGGUGAGUAACGCGUGGGAACGUACCCUCUUCUGCGGAAUAGCCACUGGAAACGGUGAGUAAUACCGCAUACGCCCUUCGGGGGAAAGAUUUAUCGGGGGAGGAUCGGCCCGCGUUGGAUUAGGUAGUUGGUGGGGUAAUGGCCUACCAAGCCUACGAUCCAUAGCUGGUUUUAGAGGAUGAUCAGCCACACUGGGACUGAGACACGGCCCAGACUCCUACGGGAGGCAGCAGUGGGGAAUCUUAGACAAUGGGCGCAAGCCUGAUCUAGCCAUGCCGCGUGAGUGACGAAGGCCUUAGGGUCGUAAAGCUCUUUCGCCUGUGAUGAUAAUGACAGUAGCAGGUAAAGAAACCCCGGCUAACUCCGUGCCAGCAGCCGCGGUAAUACGGAGGGGGUUAGCGUUGUUCGGAAUUACUGGGCGUAAAGCGCACGUAGGCGGAUCAGAAAGUUGGGGGUGAAAUCCCGGGGCUCAACCCCGGAACUGCCUCCAAAACUUCUGGUCUGGAGUUCGAGAGAGGUGAGUGGAAUUCCGAGUGUAGAGGUGAAAUUCGUAGAUAUUCGGAGGAACACCAGUGGCGAAGGCGGCUCACUGGCUCGAUACUGACGCUGAGGUGCGAAAGUGUGGGGAGCAAACAGGAUUAGAUACCCUG